rnacentral:rRNA from 1 species
UCUUCGGAUGAUUUCCUUUGUGACUGAGCGGCGGACGGGUGAGUAACGCGUGGGUAACCUGCCUCAUACAGGGGGAUAACAGUUAGAAAUGACUGCUAAUACCGCAUAAGACCACGGUACCGCAUGGUACAGUGGUAAAAACUCCGGUGGUAUGAGAUGGACCCGCGUCUGAUUAGGUAGUUGGUGGGGUAACGGCCUACCAAGCCGACGAUCAGUAGCCGACCUGAGAGGGUGACCGGCCACAUUGGGACUGAGACACGGCCCAGACUCCUACGGGAGGCAGCAGUAGGGAAUAUUGCACAAUGGGGGAAACCCUGAUGCAGCGACGCCGCGUGAGUGAUGAAGUAUUUCGGUAUGUAAAGCUCUAUCAGCAGGGAAGAUAAUGACGGUACCUGACUAAGAAGCACCGGCUAAAUACGUGCCAGCAGCCGCGGUAAUACGUAUGGUGCAAGCGUUAUCCGGAUUUACUGGGUGUAAAGGGUGCGUAGGUGGCAAGGCAAGUCUGAAGUGAAAAUCCGGGGCUCAACCCCGGAACUGCUUUGGAAACUGUUUAGCUGGAGUACAGGAGAGGUAAGUGGAAUUCCUAGUGUAGCGGUGAAAUGCGUAGAUAUUAGGAGGAACACCAGUGGCGAAGG